AGUGAACGCUGGCGGCGUGCUUAACACAUGCAAGUCGAACGAGAACGGGCUUUAGUCUACUAAAGUUGUCAGCUAAGUGGCGCACGGGUGAGUAAUAUAUAGUUAAUCUGCCCUAGAGAAGGGGAUAACGUUUGGAAACGAACGCUAAUACCCUAUAUGCCUUUAAGUCAUAAGACUGCAAGGGAAAUAUUUAUAGCUCUAGGAUGAGACUGUACGGUAUCAGCUAGUUGGUGAGGUAAUGGCUCACCAAGGCAAUGACACCUAACUGGUUUGAGAGGAUGAUCAGUCACACUGGAACUGAGACACGGUCCAG
rnacentral:rRNA from 1 species